ensembl:rRNA 5S_rRNA 5S ribosomal RNA
AUCUACAGCCAUACCACCCCGAACAGGCACAAUCUCAUGUGAUUUUGGAGGCUAAGCAGGGUUAUCAUGGCUAGUAUUUUCGUGGAAGACAGCCCUUUACAGCUAUUACAGUUGGAA